GGUAAAGGAGUGGAUUGUGGAUUUUCUUGGCAUUUAGGUGAAUAGCUGAGUCCGUUGUGGACACAGGUGCAGUUUGUCCUCUCCACACACCCACCUUUUCCAUCAGCCAGAAGGUGAUCUGGACACAUACACCCUGAUACACACCCAGUACUCACCUACAGACAAAACAAACCAAGAAGGACCAGCAUUGGUUCAUAAUUUGAGCAUUUGAAGUAGACCAUUGGAGCCACACAGUCUAAAAACAGUCAAAUGUAUGAAAAGUGGGAAUCUUCAACACUGAUG